rnacentral:tRNA from 1 species
CCGACCUUAGCUCAGUUGGUAGAGCGGAGGACUGUAGUGGUCACAGAUAAAUCCUUAGGUCGCUGGUUCGAAUCCGGCAGGUCGGA